rnacentral:rRNA from 1 species
UACGGAGGGUGCAAGCGUUAUCCGGAUUCACUGGGUUUAAAGGGUGCGUAGGCGGGCAGGUAAGUCAGAGGUGAAAUCUCCGGCUUAACCCGGAACUGCCUUUGAUACUAUCUGUCUUGAAUAUGGUGGAGGUAAGCGGAAUAUGUCAUGUAGCGGUGAAAUGCUUAGAUAUGACAUAGAACACCCAUUGCGAAGGCAGCUUACUACGCCUAUAUUGACGCUGAGGCACGAAAGCGUGGGGAUCAAACAGG